GGUCCCAAGGUUAUGGCUGUGCGCCAUUUAAAGUGGUACGCGAGCUGGGUUUAGAACGUCGUGAGACAGUUCGGUCCCUAUCUGGUGUGGGCGUUGGAUGAUUGAUGGGAGCUGCUCCUAGUACGAGAGGACCGGAGUGGACGAACCGCUGGUGUUCGGGUUGUCAUGCCAAUGGCAUUGCCCGGUAGCUAUGUUCGGAACGGAUAACCGCUGAAAGCAUCUAAGCGGGAAGCCGGCCCAAAGAUGAGUCAUCCCUGAACUUUAAGUUCUGGAAGGGUUGUUAUAGACGAUGACGUUGAUAGGCAGGGUGUGGAAGCGUUGUAAGGCGUUAAGCUAACCUGUACUAAUUGCCCGAGAGGCUUAACC
rnacentral:rRNA from 1 species